GUGGGGAAUCUUGCGCAAUGGGCGAAAGCCUGACGCAGCCAUGCCGCGUGAAUGAUGAAGGUCUUAGGAUUGUAAAAUUCUUUCACCGGGGACGAUAAUGACGGUACCCGGAGAAGAAGCUCCGGCUAACUUCGUGCCAGCAGCCGCGGUAAUACGAAGGGGGCUAGCGUUGCUCGGAAUUACUGGGCGUAAAGGGCGCGUAGGCGGACAGCUUAGUCAGAGGUGAAAGCCCAGGGCUCAACCUUGGAAUUGCCUUUGAUACUGGCUGUCUUGAGUUUGGGAGAGGUGAGUGGAACUCCGAGUGUAGAUGUGAAAUUCGUAGAUAUUCGGAAGAACACCAGUGGCGAAGGCGACUCACUGGCCCAAUACUGACGCUGGGGCGCGAAAGCGUGGGGAGCAAACAGGAUUAGAAACCCGGGUAGUCC
rnacentral:rRNA from 1 species